UAGGGAAUCUUCGGCAAUGGACGAAAGUCUGACCGAGCAACGCCGCGCGAGUGAAGAAGGUUUUCGGAUCGUAAAACUCUGUUGUUAGAGAAGAACAAGGACGUUAGUAACUGAACGUCCCCUGACGGUAUCUAACCAGAAAGCCACGGCUAACUACGUGCCAGCAGCCGCGGUAAUACGUAGGUGGCAAGCGUUGUCCGGAUUUAUUGGGCGUAAAGCGAGCGCAGGCGGUUUCUUAAGUCUGAUGUGAAAGCCCCCGGCUCAACCGGGGAGGGUCAUUGGAAACUGGGAGACUUGAGUGCAGAAGAGGAGAGUGGAAUUCCAUGUGUAGCGGUGAAAUGCGUAGAUAUAUGGAGGAACACCAGUGGCGAAAGCGGCUCUCUGGUCUGUAACUGACGCUGAGGCUCGAAAGCGUGGGGAGCAAACAGG
rnacentral:rRNA from 1 species